CAACAAAAUCUCUAACUUCAAAGCAAAAUGAGGUCAACAUUGUUUUGGGCCAUGUUGUUUGUUGUCGUUUCUGUUGUUGUUGCAGUCAAUUUGAAAUUAUCGGUCAACUUUUUUUUGUCUGCCGCUUGUCAAAAAUUAAUCAGAUAAAUAUGUCACACGACAAUCUCGAGCAACUCCUACGCCGAAAAGGUCAAACUUGUUUAUGUGAAACGCGGACAACAAACACAACAAACCCAACAACAUGAGAAAUGAGCAAACAACAAUAACAAUAACAUUUAGAAACAAAUUUGCAUUAGAAUUUGUCUGCAGUUAUCCACCGUUGGCUUCGUGUGUUCUCAAUAUGAGAAUUCCACAAAUAUUUGCAGCUAAAGUGAAAAUAUGAAGAACACGCGGCGCGGCGAAGCUUCGAAGCAGAGACUGAGACUGAGACGUUGGCGUCGACGCGUCCGAA